AGCGAACGCUGGCGGCAGGCCUAACACAUGCAAGUCGAACGAAGUCUUCGGACUUAGUGGCGGACGAGUGAGUAACACGUGGGAACGUGCCUUUAGGUUCGGAAUAACUCAGGGAAGCUUGUGCUAAUACCGAAUGUGCCCUUCGGGGGAAAGAUUUAUCGCCUUUAGAGCGGCCCGCGUCUGAUUAGCUAGUUGGUGAGGUAAAGGCUCACCAAGGCUACGAUCAGUAGCUGGUCUGAGAGGAUGACCAGCCACAUUGGGACUGAGACACGGCCCAAACUCCUACGGGAGGCAGCAGUAGGGAAUCUUGCGCAAUGGGCGAAAGCCUGACGCAGCCAUGCCGCGUGGAUGAUGAAGGUCUUAGGAUUGUAAAAUCCUUUCACCGGUGAAGAUAAUGACUGUAGCCGGAGAAGAAGCCCCGGCCAACUUCGUGCCAGCCGCCGCGGUAACAC
rnacentral:rRNA from 1 species